CCACAAUCCAACAUUCUCCCCUCCUUUGUUAUCACAGCUCUCGUCUUCCUCCACUUUCCUCACUCCACCGUCCCAACCAUCAUCUACCUCCGGCAUCGCCCCCAACACCACCAACAGCAAACCCCACAACCUCUAAACUUCGUAUUUAACACCCUACGCCCCUCUCUACCAUCCAACCACCUCACUAUUGCUUCCAGAAACAAAAUAUAAAAGGGGCUCUCUAUUAGGAUAAUGAGAAAAGAGAAAAGGGGGUGCUCUAUAAUGGCCAAAGGCACCACCAAUGACUAAGCCGCCCUCUUAGCAACCCCACAUCAAUUUUCCAAAUUAAAAGAAGAAUUAGAAGAAAAAGUGAAUUUAAAUUGAAGUGUGGAAUGUCGAU